rnacentral:misc_RNA from 1 species
AACCUAGCACACCUGCGGUGUGUACCUGCGGAAGGAUCAUUAAUAAAAACAUGGCCUAACAGCCUAAAACCUUUGGUUUUACAACCAAAACAACCUUGUGUGCACUGUAAUCGUCUCUCUUUUGGCGGAUUUGAAGUCUGGCCUUGGUGGACUCUUCGUGAUAAAGUUUUUAUUAUGAUGAGCACACAUAUGAGCUAGUGCCGCCAAAAGGAAAAUUUACAAACUUUUUUAAAAUCUUUG